UGAGAAGGAGAUAGAGAGAAUAGGUUAUGAAAGGUCAAACUUCAAAGGACAAAUUGCAGCCGUAUACAUCGUAGGUUAGGGCGGAGAAUGGCCGAAUGGGGAUUGGCAGGAACAUAUAAAAAAUUAGGUCUCAAAUUGAAAGAGGGGAAAAUAAGCUUCAACAAUAAUUAUAACUAGAGAUUUAGAUAAACAUGUAGUCUUUGUUUUUGACAAAUGUGAUUCUGGAAGAUAUCAAGCUUAUAACUCGUCUUUGUCAGGUGGUUCGAAUUUCAGCCUAAUAGACAAGAAUGCUCAGGUGAGACUUUAAAUAUUGUUUGCUAGUUGGUGUGUUUAAACUUGAUUAUUUAGCUAGUACUUUUGGUUAGUUGAUAUAAGAUGUAGUUUAUAUAAAACAGCAACUGUCUAAAAGAUUUAUGUAUAGCUUCGGAUUUGAACUUAAAUUUAGCACAUUUGACCUCAAAAGUUGAAGGAUAUUUUCUUUAACGGCA